AACGAACGCUGGCGGCAGGCCUAACACAUGCAAGUCGAGCGCGCCCUUCGGGGUGAGCGGCGGACGGGUGAGUAACGCGUGGGAACGUGCCCUUCUCUGCGGAAUAGCCUCGGGAAACUGAGAGUAAUACCGCAUACGCCCUUUGGGGGAAAGAUUUAUCGGAGAAGGAUCGGCCCGCGUUGGAUUAGGUAGUUGGUGGGGUAAUGGCCCACCAAGCCGACGAUCCAUAGCUGGUUUGAGAGGAUGAUCAGCCACACUGGGGCUGAGACACGGCCCAGACUCCUACGGGAGGCAGCAGUGGGGAAUCUUAGACAAUGGGGGCAACCCUGAUCUAGCCAUGCCGCGUGAGUGAUGAAGGCCUUAGGGUUGUAAAGCUCUUUCAGCUGGGAAGAUAAUGACGGUACCAGCAGAAGAAGCCCCGGCUAACUCCGUG
rnacentral:rRNA from 1 species